CCUAGCUGCGGGGCAGCAAGUGGGUUGAUACGGGGGGUGGGAGCGGGGGCCGAAAGCACUGGGCGGAAAGGGCGCGUAGGAUGGCUGAUAAGUGGGAGAUGAAAUCCUGGGGCGUAAACGCAGGGUGGCCUUCUAAACUGUCAGGCGAGAGCACAGUAGAGGCAGGUGGAAUUCCCGGUGUAGCGGGUGAAUGCGUAGAGAUCGGGAAGAACAUCGGUGGCGAAGGCGGCCUGCUGGGCUGUUGCUGACGCUGAGGCGCGACAGCGUGGGGAGCAAACAGGAUUAGAUACCCGGGUAGUC
rnacentral:rRNA from 1 species